UUUUUUUUAGCAAUAAACUGUAAAGCAUUACCAUACCAACAAAAUAAAGGAAUCAGUACAUCUAAAAGGCCAUCCACAUACUUGGAUCCCUGAGUUGUCUCUAAUUACAAACCUCACAUAUAAAAUCUCUAUUUUUGCUACCUCUCUUUGAAUAUCUAAAUAUAUCGAUCCUUUCCCCAAUUACAAAUUGGAUUUGUUGUAAUAUUAGACUGCUAUGCACAUUCUUAUUCUGAAAAUUUUUGUUGUUCCUAGCCAUCCAAGUGUAAUAUAUCACUGCUCCAUAUACAGCUGCCAUUGUUUCUUUUUUGAAUCUCGUCCAGUGCUUCAUCUUGAUAGCUUGUAGAUCUUCCAUGGCUCCCCUGGAGUGUAUCUGUGUCUUUAAACAGCCAUGUACUGCAUCCCAUAUAUCCCUUGUCCAUGGGCAUCCUGAGAACAGGUGUGUGUCAUCCUAAGAGCUCUUGUAUUACACAUGACACACAAGUCAUCAUCCCUGCCUAGCCCAAUGUGCUUUAACCUCACUUUUGUAAAUAGUCUUCCUAGAGCAGCAAGCCAUAGAAUAAAUCUGUGCUUUGGCAUUGUAACUCAGUUCCAUAUAAGAUCUGCAUUCUCCAUUUUGGUAGCAUUUCCCAUCAACUGCAAGUACCCCAUUGUCACAGAAUAUUGCCCAUUAUUUGUUAGGCAAUAGUGGUCAUUUCUAUACCAGCUAACCAUUUUCAUUUUCAGUUUAUGCAAUCUCUUCCAAUACCAACUGUAGUCUGAAAGUGGAGUGUGUUCCCAAAAAUCUUCACCCAUUUGACCCAUAACAGGUCCUUCUUUUCCAUGACAAACCAGAUAAGUUUUCCCACUGAAGCUAUAUUCCACAUCUUGCACCCUUUAAUAUUCAGUCCCCUUUGCUGUUUGGGUCUGCAAAGUUUUUCCCAGGCAACUAGAGAAAUUUUCUUCUUUUCUUCAUUUCUUCCCCAUAAGAACUAUCUACAUCUCUUAUCCACUUCAUUUAAGACACUUUGUGGCAAUAAGAUGACUGCUCCCCAAAAGUUAUGCAAAGAAAAUAAUACAGAGUUGAUUAUCUGUAAUUUACCAGCAUAUGACAACUGUCUAGUGGAGACAACUCUUAUUUUCUCUGUAAUCCUCUUGCUAAGUUGAAAAAAAAAUCCAAAUUGCUCCAUUUCUUAGGUGACAAGGGGAAUCCUAAGUACCUAAUGGGAAAGUUUCCUGCAGCAUACCCUGUCAAUCUUAGUAGGCUCUCUUUAGUAUCAGUAUCCCCACCUGCUACAAACAUGUUUGACUUGUCUAUAUUAGCAACCAAGCCUGACACUUGUGAGAAGUGAUUCAAAUUCUCCAUGAUCCUCUUUACUGAUGCUUCAUGCCCUUUACAGAAUAUCAUCAAGUCAUCUGUAAAGAGUAAAUGAGUCAGCUCUUGAGCCUUACACAUAGGAUGAAAUCUGAAAGCAGGUAGUUGUGCCAUCUUUGUCAAUAUUCUGGUUAAGUACUCCAUGACUAGUACAAAUAAGAGGGGGGAAAUAGGGUCCCCUUGUUUCAAGCCCCUCUUACCCUCAAAGUAACCAUGACACUCUCUAUUUACGUUAAUUGAGAAUUUUGUUGUAGUUACACAAGUCAUGAUCAAGUGACAGAAUAUCGGGGGAAAACCAAACCCAUGCAGCAUCUCUGAUACAAACUCUCGCCUUACCAUAUCAUAAGCUUUCCUGAGAUCGAUUUUCAUCAUGCAUCUUGCUGAGGUUUUCUUGUUGUAGUGCCUCAAUAAAUCAUGGCAGAUUAAUACAUUGUGCAGUAAGGACCUGCCCUGGACAAAUGCUGCAUGUGUUUGGUUCACUAGGUGUGGCAGUACUUGCUUUAAUCUGCUGCAUAAUAGCUUGGAUAUGCACUUAUACACUACAUUACAACAAGCUAUUGGCCUGAACUGGCUUGUAUUUUCAGGUUUGUUUAUUUUGGGAAUAAGUGUAAUCACAGUGGCAUUUAGUUGUUGUAGUAGUUUCCCAUUUCUCAUAAAAUUCAGUACUGCAUCAGUCACCUCCUCUCUUGUUAUGGCCCAAGUAACCCUGAAAAACCCACUGCUAAACCCAUCUGGCCUUGGGCUUUUUGUAGUUUUGAUAUUAAAGAUGGCAUCCUUAACCUCUUUGCUUGUGUACUCCUUCAGUAGGCUCACUUGAUGUUUGGCAUUGAGUAAGUUUCCUUUUUUAAUUAACACCUCUGAUAUUUUUUUUGUCUGUCUUCUUCCCGGUUUGCUCGGAUCAACAUGUGGAGGAGGUAUUUCUCUCUCUAAAAUCGCCAUAGGAACUUCCCAAGAUUCUUCAGAAGGCACAAGAUUCAUUUCCUCACAGUAUUCAAUUAUGUAAUUCUCCACCUUAUAAUAUGGAGAUGAGUAGUCAUAAAUUCGCCAUCCAAAGUGUUCACCAUAUUGGACUUGACGCGCUACCAUAGCAUAUGGACAAGGUAUUUUGUCCAGGUCAAAAACUCUACAAGUAUAAGAUCUUCUUUGCAGAUCGUCUGUUGCAACCGUGGCCGAUGACGCUGAACUUGUAGUUGGCAAUUUGAUGGGCCAAUAACUUAUUUCCCAAGUUGACAAAUUUUGAUAUUUUUUUUUUCAUUGAGGGAACAAAGAUGGUUGGUGAGUCGAUGAACUCCAUACGCCUCUCAUGAAAUUUCUCAGUAAACCUCUUGUUUAUGGAAUCAAAUAGAGCAGUAAUGAGAUAUUCUCUUUUAACAUUGAACAUUGAGUUCAUUGACUCAGCAGCGUUUGUCGUCAUAAAAUUAUACCUGACAAAACAAACAUAUUAGUGUUGGAACAGGUGGCUCAGCUGUUGGAAAAAUCACAACAAGUAGAAUAUCUGUUGCAACAAGUAACCUGUUAGUUGCAGCAGAUGUGUUACUCAUUAGAAACAGAAAUGUGCAAAUACCUAUUUUCGGGGCAGAAUGCCCUGCUCCAUCUGUGGAAUCCAGCACGUUCAAGAUGUUCGGCGGCCCCAGGAACCAAAUCUCUUAUUCGAUUGAAAUGGUCAUUGAAGACAUCAAUAUUGUACGAUUUUGCUGCUUUAUAAAAUUGAGAUACGACCGCUCCAUUGUGAAAGGUGGUUCUCUGAUUUUUCCCUAGGUGCCUCAUGCAAAAACCAUAAUGACAUGUAGGGAAGACAAUUGAAACUGCCUUUUUGAUACUUGGAUGUCUAUCAGAAAUUAUGCACAACUCAGGGGUAUCCUCUAUAUAGCUUCUCAUUUGUUCAAAAAAAUAUUUGUACGAAGCAUCACACUCCUUGUCCACUACACAAAAUGCCACCGAAAAAAUAUGAUUCUCCGCAUCUUGUGCGACUGCUGACAACAACACUCCUUCGUACUUGCUCCUUAAGAAUGUCCCAUUGACAGCUAUGACUUUUUUCAUUUGUGCAAAACCAAGCGUCCAAGCCUUAUAGGCUACAAAAAAGUACUUGAAAUUCCCAUUUUCAUCAACCUUCAAUGUCGUCUUACUUCCUGGAUUUGCAGAACGAAGCAUAUAAUGGUACGCAUCAAGCACCGCAUACCCGUGCUCAUGUGUCCCCCUUGUCAAAGCCUUUGCAAUCUCCAUGCCCUUCCAGACCUUCCAAUAACUUACCUUACAACCCAAUUUUGUACGGAUGGAUUGAAUCAUAUUUUUUGUAGAUGGGCCUUUACCAUAAGGAAAAUUAUCUUUGAAGUAUUCACCAAUGACUUUCGCUGUGGCAUGUGGAUGGCUCGUAAUGUGCUCAGAACCACAUGUGUGAUGCUUUAUGUAGGUUCUGAUACAAAAUCUGUCAUAACUUAAAAGCUUCACAGCCCUCAGCCACCACUUGCACUCCGGAUGUACACAUCUGAAGCAAUACACAGUACACGAAUUAAUCACCUUCUUGAUUCAAAAAUCUUUCUUCAAGCAAGAAAGUUUGUUGGUUAAAGGUUCUUUUCUAAGAAUGCCAAGUUAGUUUUAUGGCGUCUUUGAUAUGUAUAUGUUUAUGAUUAGUUAUCAAUGCAUCUUGUGAGUUGAUCCAGUUUUGUCUAACUUAAAGUUAGUCCUUAGUGGUAGGGAUAAUUAAUAGCUAAUCAUUCAAAUCACUGGACCUAAUUAUAACACAUAAUAUUUAGAUUCAAAUAAACCUUUUGACUCACUUAAAUGUACCUUAGGGAUUAGAUGACUGAACUAGGUGAUAUAUAUUAGCUUAAGGAUUGUAGGCAUUGAUUAAAACUGGAAAGUGAGAAAGACUCCAAGUAGGUGUUUGUUACACCUCGUAGUUUUGGACGUUGAGGUUCGUUAGGUGUUAGUUGUUUUAAUUGCGAUCUAGAGUGAUAUGCGCCUAUCUUAUGGUUAUGAGGGUUUAAGACCAUGUAUCAGAGGUAUCGAAAGGAUUGGAGGUCGAUCGGGCGAAAAAGAAAAAUUUGGCCGAACUGGAAAAAAUUGCCAUACGCGUUCGCGAUAAAGCCGCGCGUUCAUGAUGGCCAUAGAAAUUCCAGACCAUCGCGUUCGCGAGAGGCCCUUGCGUUCGCGAAGGCCAAUUAUUAAGUCGGUUCCACCGACUUUAACCCCCUAUAUAAAGGGUAAAACCCCUUUUUUUCACCAAAUUAUUUCCCAAAAACUCAGAAAACAGAUAGGGGUAUGAGGAUAACAUAAAAUUGAGUGAUUUUGAAGUGGCGGAGUAUUAGUUUAGGUUCGGAUAGCGCACAGUUGUGAUUGUAGUAUCGUUUUGCGGUGAAUUUUGGCUUGGAUUCAAGGCGAACAUUGAAGAUAUUGUUGUUUUAGUAAGAAUAAGGAAUAAAAGUAGUUUAAUUUGAAAGCGGCAGCACAAGUAUACGACGACAAGUCUAACGAUAGUAUGAAUUCUUUCGAAUGUAGAUUUACGAGCUUGGAAGGAUAAGCGUAGGUAGUAGGAGCCCGAACAGGCACAUUUGACAGGGGGUGACGAUGUGGCCUUUGUUGUGGCAUUUAUAUACAUAAGGCACAUUUGACAGGGGGUGACGAUGUGGCCUUUGUUGUGGCGUUUAUAUACAUGAGGUACAUUUGACAAGGGGUGACGAUGUGGCCUUGUUGUGGCGUUUAUAUAUAUAAGGUUCAGGUAGACAGAGAGACGGUCCAACUCAGUAGGAUUUCGCCUCAGCUGUAGUCGGUGCGCUCCACUCAAUCCGGAGUUGGGGUCUAUUUUGGUGCGUUAUUUUGGGAUUUAUAUGCAUAUAUGGGUAUGACAGGAGCCCUGUCCCGUCCUUUCCACAGCUUGUACUUCAUUAGAGGACCACUCGGGUCAGGAUCAGCUUGCCUAUUGGGCCUUAGGCCUAAUAAGGAAAUUCUUUCUCCAAAGAUAUUGAGUCCGCAAAGAUGGAAUUAAAUAGCCGGUGUGCAGAAGGCCCAGGCAUGGGUAAAAAUGGCCAACUAGGGGCUUAGUACGCCCCUAGUGUUCCUCUAUCCUUUAUGGGUGAAAUUAAACUAAGUUUUCAGAUUCAAACCAAGACUAAGGAUAAAUUUUUUGGGCCAGAUUCAAAUAAAGAAAUUUGGCAAAA